GAUGAACGCUGGCGGCGUGCCUAAUACAUGCAAGUCGAGCGAAUGGAUUAAGAGCUUGCUCUUAUGAAGUUAGCGGCGGACGGGUGAGUAACACGUGGGUAACCUGCCCAUAAGACUGGGAUAACUCCGGGAAACCGGGGCUAAUACCGGAUAAUAUUUUGAACUGCAUGGUUCCAAAUUGAAAGGCGGCUUCGGCUGUCACUUAUGGAUGGACCCGCGUCGCAUUAGCUAGUUGGUGAGGUAACGGCUCACCAAGGCAACGAUGCGUAGCCGACCUGAGAGGGUGAUCGGCCACACUGGGACUGAGACACGGCCCAGACUCCUACGGGAGGCAGCAGUAGGGAAUCUUCCGCAAUGGACGAAAGUCUGACGGAGCAACGCCGCGUGAGUGAUGAAGGCUUUCGGGUCGUAAAACUCUGUUGUUAGGGAAGAACAAGUGCUAGUUGAAUAAGCUGGCACCUUGACGGUACCUAACCAGAAAGCCACGGCUAACUACAUGCCAGCCGCCGCCGUAA
rnacentral:rRNA from 1 species